rnacentral:misc_RNA from 1 species
AAGGAUCAUUACCGAGUUUGUCUUCUUCGGAAGACUCCUCCCACCCUUGUGUAUUUUACAUGCUGAUAAGCAGCUUCGGCGGGCCGUUCCCUGUGGCAUCACUCUGUCAUGGAGCGAAGGCCGGGGAACAUCGGCCUAACCAGCGGAUAUGCGCCUGCCGAAGGACUCCAACUCUCUGAUAAUUUGAAGUCUGAAUAAAAACUUGAUAAUAAAUCAAAACUUUCAACAACGGAUCUCUUGGUUCUG